rnacentral:ribozyme from 1 species
AAAAUAAAAUAAAACAAAACAUCAUAGAAAAUAAAAUGGGGGUUAGCUAAUAAGUUCAUCGUUCAUAUUUGUUUUUUUUCUUGUCAUUUUCUUCUCAGAAGCAUCUUCUUUCUCAUAUUUCGUCAACAACAACGACACAGAUGAAUUAUGCAGUAGAUAAA